ACUUAAACUCCGCCUGUAGCCCCUCCGAGGGUUAUUGCCGGUCCCAAGCCCGGAUAAAGGAGGAGGGAUGG
rnacentral:ribozyme from 2 species